CAUUUGUACUUGGCGUGAUUAUAAAGCAAUGAGACUGAUUGUCAUAUGUUGUUUGUGGGAUCCGUCUCAGUUACUUUAUAGCCAUACCUGGUAUCGUA
ensembl:miRNA Mir340 microRNA 340